rnacentral:tRNA from 1 species
CCUCCUUUAGUGUAAUGGUAGCACGGCGCACGCAAGGCGCUAGAGCGGUUCAACUCCGUAAUGUGUUAGAGCGGUUCGAUUCCGCAAGGAGGU